UAGCCUACGGGAGGCAGCAGUGAGGGGUAUUGGGCAAUGGGGGAAACCCUGACCCAGCGACGCCGCGUGAGGGAAGACGGUCUUCGGAUUGUAAACCUCUGUCUUUGGGGACGAAAAAGGACGGUACCCAAGGAGGAAGCUCCGGCUAACUACGUGCCAGCAGCCGCGGUAAUACGUAGGGAGCGAGCGUUGUCCGGACUUACUGGGGGUAAAGGGAGCGUAGGCGGGAUUGCAAGUUGGAUGUGAAAACUUCGGGCUCAACCCGCAGCGUGCAUUCAAAACUGCGGUUCUUGAGUG
rnacentral:rRNA from 1 species